UCUCUCUCUCCUGUGCAUACCUGUGGAGGUGGAGGCCUUUAUAAAGUUUUUUGGGAGAAGUUAUAAGAGAACCGUGUGCCCUUAACCACACCGACCCAACAACCGCGCCGUCUCGAAUCCCCCCAUUCCACCUUCUCUCCUCCCUUAAGAGCCCCCAAGCACUCACCUGGGCUACCUGUGCGCCACCCACGGCUACACGACAGGUGCCAAAGGUAUGCGGCUGCGUAGGUAUUUUAUUUUGUAGAUUUUCUUUCUCUUUCCCAACUUGAAAGAUUUUGGUUUUUUUAAAAGUCUCUUUCGCGCAUAUAGUGGCGGACAGCUACUACACCCAGGUCCAGGGUAAUUUCCAACGACGGUGUUGGCCAACUAUAGCGCUAAGAGACUGUCAUUUUUGUUUUUUUCAAUAUUAUUAUUAAAUAGAAAGGGAUAGAUUAAAGCCGGACAAUCAGGUCAUCUCGACGAUUUCGAGAAUCGUCAGACAUGGCAACGGAAUGCAUGAAUCGGGCAUUGCUAUGCUAUGCUGCUGCCCUUUUUUUUCACUGGAGGCCAAAUUUGAGUGGCGGUGGUGGACUGGACUUUCUCUUACUCUAGAGCGACGGCAGCGAACGAACGACCGAUGGCCAGCAACAACUGGCUGGACAACACCUUUCGGGCAAAUUUUCAUUCACGCUGGCGGAAAAUCACACCAGCAGCGCAACAACCGAAGGAAAAAGGUCCUUGAGUGAUGCGUUUCUUGGAGCUGCUCCAAACGCGACUGGCCUCCAACUUUAUUUUUCUUCGAUGCCGGAGAGAAAAACACGACCGGCAGGCAAACAGGCAACUCUUUUCUAUUCUUUUCUUGUCCUUUUUUUCUUUCUAAAUGU